CCUACGGGAGGCUGCAGUGAGGAAUAUUGGUCAAUGGGCGCGAGCCUGAACCAGCCAAGUCGCGUGAGGGAGGACGGCCCUACGGGUUGUAAACCUCUUUUGCCGGGGAGCAACGGGCGGCACGUGUGGCGCCACUGAGAGUACCCGGAGAAAAAGCAUCGGCUAACUCCGUUACAGCAGCCGCGGUAAUACGGGGGAGGCGAGCGUGAUCCGGAUUGAUUGGGUUUAAAGGGUGCGUAGGCGGAUCGUUAAGUCAGUGGUCACAUUGAGGUGCUCAACCCCUUCCCGCCAUUGAAACUGGCGCUCUUGAGUGGAAGAGAAGUAUGCGGAAUGCGUGGUGUAGCGGUGAAAUGCAUAGAUAUCACGCAGAACCCCGAUUGCGAAGGCAGCAUGCCGGCUUCCGACUGACGCUGAAGCACGAAAGCGUGGGGAUCGAACAGGAUUAGAUACCCGGGUAGUC
rnacentral:rRNA from 1 species